AGGGAAUCUUCCACAAUGGGCGAAAGCCUGAUGGAGCAACGCCGCGUGAGUGAAGAAGGUUUUCGGAUCGUAAAACUCUGUUGUAAGGGAAGAACAAGUACAGUAGUAACUGGCUGUACCUUUACGGUACCUUAUUAGAAAGCCACGGCUAACUACGUGCCAGCAGCCGCGGUAAUACGUAGGUGGCAAGCGUUGUCCGGAAUUAUUGGGCGUAAAGCGCGCGCAGGCGGUCCUUUAAGUCUGAUGUGAAAGCCCACGGCUCAACCGUGGAGGGUCAUUGGAAACUGGAGGACUUGAGUGCAGAAGAGGAAAGUGGAAUUCCAAGUGUAGCGGUGAAAUGCGUAGAGAUUUGGAGGAACACCAGUGGCGAAGGCGACUUUCUGGUCUGUAACUGACGCUGAGGCGCGAAAGCGUGGGGAGCAAACA
rnacentral:rRNA from 1 species